rnacentral:piRNA from 1 species
UAAUACAUUAUCUGGUUGAAGUGUCCUG